GCUGGAAUCGCCCUGAGAAGUCGUAACAAGGUUUCCGUAGGUGAACCUGCGGAAGGAUCAUUC
rnacentral:rRNA from 1 species